rnacentral:miRNA from 1 species
ACAAGCUUUCGGGAGAACCUCCCUUUCUCAAGUCUGAAGCAUUUCUUGAGAAAGGGAGGUUCUCCCGAAAGCUUG